rnacentral:miRNA from 2 species
UCAGUCUUCAGUUCCUCCCAGC